UAAAAAAAAAAAAACAAUAAGAAACGGAAAAGGGGAUUAGGGUUAUUUCGUGUGACCUUUCGAGUUCUUCUUCUCCUUUCACGAACAAGACGCAGCGGCGGCCGGAGGACUUCCCUCUCUCCGUCGAGCAACUUGCAGCGGUCAGAGAACUCUGAUUCGGCUCCGUCUCGAUCUCCCUCGAUUCUGCUCGCGACCUCACUCUCAACUCACCUAACAUACGGCGGCGGACAAUCCUUCUCCGGCGACAUCUCCGCACGCUACCGAUUUCGUCUCAUCUCCCUCAUUGCUCUCACUUCAUCCGGACUCUCCCUCUCGAUCUUAUCUCGGCCGAAUCAAACUCGCUCACAUCUCUCAUCUCUGUCUACGAUGGAGGUAAUUGUGGAUGCGCCGAAGAACGGUUAAAUGAAAAUUCGUUGAGAUGCGAGGAUGAUGAACGAUGAAACAAGUUGUUGCAGGUCCGUUGAGGAUCAACGAUGGACAGGUGCUCAAUGUUGUGACGUUAUCGUGUUGAUUCGAAGCAAAGAGCCAAGGUGAUAACGCCGUGACGAUGCGAGUGAACUUGUAGAUUUGUUCUUGAAGGAUCAAUGCGUUUCUGGAAAUUGCCGUGGAGGAAUUGAACUCGCAGGUAUUGCGAAGGUAACGUUGACACGGAGAUGAGAUUAAAGAUUCAAUCGGAACCGAAUUCCUUCAUGUUACUGUUAAGAUCUUCUUCUCUUGAAAUUCUGCCGUGAGCUUUAUCCUGCAAUUUUCUGUUUCUUGAAUUUGUUGCAGGUUGGUGUAUGGUGAUGAAGGUGACGAAGGUUCGAUGAUUUUUGCAGUGGAUUCGGUUUUCUGUUAUGUAUCGUGAGAGAGAAAUUGAAGAUGAUGAUUGGAGGUAGAAGUGGAAGGUUCUGGUGGAGAGUUGAAGAUGAAUGAAGAGAAAAAAGGGUGGUUGAUGCGUGAAGAUUAGGGAGGUUCAGAGAUGAAGAGAGAGUGGUGAGAAGUGGUGGAUCUGAAUUCAGAGAGUGAGAAAAUGAGAGAUGAAGAUGGUGGUGGAAGAUUGAAAAAAUGGAGGAGAAGCUGAAUGAUGAUGAUGAGUCCAGUUAUAUAGGGUGCAGCAAGUGAUUGAAAUGGAGUUGAAGUGGAAUCCUUCGAAUACUUCAAUGAAGUUCCUCUUCUUUCUCGAGAUUCAAAUAUGUCUUUACUUUCUUCAAAGUGUUGGUACUUGUAAUGACUUGUAAAAACAGUUCGAAUAGGCUAAUGCUUGCUGAAUUAUGUAGGGUUUAAUUCCUGGAUUUUGUAUUGGAACUUGGAACUGAUUUGUGUAGGCUGUCUUUUUCUUUGAUCCUGCAGGCUAUGGUGUGAAUGCUGUCAUGAUGAUACCUCUUGAUAUGGCUUGGAGAUGUUUGAAGGAGUGGCAAAGGUCCGUUUGACUUUAGUUAAAUAUUAGAGAUUAGGACAGGUUCAUGUUGAAUGCAGGUGAUUGGAUUGGAGUUAAAGCUUGGGCUCAUGAUGAAGAUGAAGUGGAUUAGAAUGUCAAAAUGUAUUUUUGUGUAAUUUUCAAUGCGAUGCCCAUGUGAUGUAAUGGUGUAUUUGAUAUAGAAUAACUUUGUAAAAUAGAAGGCUGGUAUGGUUAUGGUUAUGAUGGUAAGGUGCAGAAUUGGUAUU